CCUACGGGAGGCAGCAGUGGGGAAUAUUGCACAAUGGGCGCAAGCCUGAUGCAGCGACGCCGCGUGAGGGAUGACGGCCUUCGGGUUGUAAACCUCUUUCAGUAGGGAAGAAGCGAAAGUGACGGUACCUGCAGAAGAAGCGCCGGCUAACUACGUGCCAGCAGCCGCGGUAAUACGUAGGGCGCAAGCGUUAUCCGGAAUUAUUGGGCGUAAAGAGCUCGUAGGCGGUUUGUCGCGUCUGCUGUGAAAGACCGGGGCUCAACUCCGGUUCUGCAGUGGGUACGGGCAGACUAGAGUGCAGUAGGGGAGACUGGAAUUCCUGGUGUAGCGGUGAAAUGCGCAGAUAUCAGGAGGAACACCGAUGGCGAAGGCAGGUCUCUGGGCUGUAACUGACGCUGAGGAGCGAAAGCAUGGGGAGCGAACAGGAUUAGAUACCCUGGUAGUCCAUGCCGUAAACGUUGGGCACUAGGUGUGGGGGACAUUCCACGUUUUCCGCGCCGUAGCUAACGCAUUAAGUGCCCCGCCUGGGGAGUACGGCCGCAAGGCAAAACGUCAAAUGAAAUUGACGG
rnacentral:rRNA from 1 species